UAGCUCAGUGGUUUGAGCAUUGGAUUGCAAAACCCAGGGUUGCGAGUUCAAUCCUUGC
rnacentral:tRNA from 1 species